rnacentral:rRNA from 1 species
GAAAGGCCUUGCUUUUGCGGGGUGCUCGAGUGGCGAACGGGUGAGUAACACGUGAGUAACCUGCCCUUGACUUUGGGAUAACUUCAGGAAACUGGGGCUAAUACCGGAUAGGAGCUCCUGCUGCAUGGUGGGGGUUGGAAAGUUUCGGCGGUUGGGGAUGGACUCGCGGCUUAUCAGCUUGUUGGUGGGGUAGUGGCUUACCAAGGCUUUGACGGGUAGCCGGCCUGAGAGGGUGACCGGCCACAUUGGGACUGAGAUACGGCCCAGACUCCUACGGGAGGCAGCAGUGGGGAAUAUUGCACAAUGGGCGGAAGCCUGAUGCAGCAACGCCGCGUGCGGGAUGACGGCCUUCGGGUUGUAAACCGCUUUCGCCUGUGACGAAGCGUGAGUGACGGUAAUGGGUAAAGAAGCACCGGCUAACUACGUGCCAGCAGCCGCGGUGAUACGUAGGGUGCGAGCGUUGUCCGGAUUUAUUGGGCGUAAAGGGCUCGUAGGUGGUUGAUCGCGUCGGAAGUGUAAUCUUGGGGCUUAACCCUGAGCGUGCUUUCGAUACGGGUUGACUUGAGGAAGGUAGGGGAGAAUGGAAUUCCUGGUGGAGCGGUGGAAUGCGCAGAUAUCAGGAGGAACACCAGUGGCGAAGGCGGUUCUCUGGGCCUUUCCUGACGCUGAGGAGCGAAAGCGUGGGGAGCGAACAGGCUUAGAUACCCUGGUAGUCCACGCUGUAAACGGUGGGUACUAGGUGUGGGGUCCAUUCCACGGGUUCCGUGCCGUAGCUAACGCUUUAAGUACCCCGCCUGGGGAGUACGGCCGCAAGGCUAAAACUCAAAGGAAUUGACGGGGCCCCGCACAAGCGGCGGAGCAUGCGGAUUAAUUCGAUGCAACGCGUAGAACCUUACCUGGGUUUGACAUGGAUCGGGAGUGCUCAGAGAUGGGUGUGCCUCUUUUGGGGUCGGUUCACAGGUGGUGCAUGGCUGUCGUCAGCUCGUGUCGUGAGAUGUUGGGUUAAGUCCCGCAACGAGCGCAACCCUUGUUCACUGUUGCCAGCACGUUAUGGUGGGGACUCAGUGGAGACCGCCGGGGUCAACUCGGAGGAAGGUGGGGAUGACGUCAAGUCAUCAUGCCCCUUAUGUCCAGGGCUUCACGCAUGCUACAAUGGCUGGUACAGAGAGUGGCGAGCCUGUGAGGGUGAGCGAAUCUCGGAAAGUCGGUCUCAGUUCGGAUUGGGGUCUGCAACUCGACCUCAUGAAGUCGGAGUCGCUAGUAAUCGCAGAUCAGCAACGCUGCGGUGAAUACGUUCCCGGGGCU